AUAUAUCGUAGCUCCGUAAAUUUGAACUAAUUUUAAAACCUAAUUAUUAAAUUUCAUGACCUUCUUCAACAUAUUAAAUAACUAUUUUUAUAAUUAAAUAUUAAAUUUUACUUUAUUUCAGUGGUACAGUACGUGAUUACUCACGUCCUGUAGAAUGUUCGCGACAUAGGAUAUAAUAUUGAAGUGUCUCUAAAAAUUAUUUAGAAAGACUCUACAUGUAUUGCAAAUUAAUUAUUGUGUAAAGUAUAUGACAAAGAAAGCACCAAAAAAAAUAAUAAAAAAUCUCACUUAUUAUUUUAAAAGUUAUUUAUCAUUCUACAAUGUUCGUGAAAAAUAAUCACACCUGUAGAAAAAAAUUGCCGAAAUGCUAAAAUUUUUAUUUUUCAAGUUGGAACAUUAGUUUAUAGCUCUAGCAACUCUAUUAUUUGCCUUGUAAUGACUAGUGUAGGCCAUAUUUCUGCAAGUGAUAGCAUUUCAGAGAAUCAUUAAGUUGUAUAGGCGUUCUACACCAGUGUCAAAGUUGAAGUCUCAUUUCUGUACUCAAUAAAAAAAAUUUUUUCAGGCAUAUCAGGCAAAACGCGAUUGGAGAAAGAAAAAGAGUAACGUUUAGGAAGAACAAAAUAAGGCUUGGAUACCGAAGAAGAGACAAAAAAUGACCAAAGCUGGACCGGAAGGAGCACAUCGAAAAUAUAGAGAAAGAUACUAAAAAAACUAUUAAGAAGCUGGGAAAAUAAAAUCAAUUAAAGACUACACACCAAGAGCACAAAAACAAUAAGAAAGAGUUGGCCAGAGCGUGUAUAAGGAUUGAAAAGAAGAUAAUUCUCCUUCAAGUCCAGUUUCACAAAUAUCUACAGUAUUUUCUAGAUUUUCCUUAGACAAAAAUAGAUGAACACUGAAAUUAGAGCUUCUUAAGCUAAGAAAAUUAAGCUAGCAGAGUUUGAAAAACAGCUCGGAUUUGCUCCCAUUACAAAAUUAGGCUUAUUUACGUUACUCCCAAAAAAAAAAACUCUCAGACUUCUGCAAAUCUGCAGAACCAAUCAUAAUAUAGGAAUAUACAGGAACCCAAUAGCUGUCGCUAUGAGACGUGACGCAGACGUCACGUCCAGGGUUGAAAUUUUUUACAGAUCAACCUUUGAAUGUGAGGGUACUUCUGAUAUUUUUCAAACUGGAAAAUGCAAACCAAAAAAUAAAAUAUAAUUAGUAUGAUACGUUCGAUAAUGUCAUAAAACAUGUUUUAAAAACUUUUUUGCUUCGCCAGACGAAGAAAAUUAUAUUUUGUAAUGAUUCUAUUUUCAGGAUCUUAUUCUACAGGAAUCUUAUGUUUAAGUACGUCAUUUCUGUAGAACAUGUUUGUUGAUUUUUUUUAAUAGUUUUUAACUAAAUUUGACUUCCUGAAAUUGACAUAUUAAGACUGUUGACACCAAAAACAAUUAAGCCUGGUUAUUUUUUUUGCAUUCUUACAUAAAUUUGUAAUUUUAAGAAAAUUCCUGUCACUCAUGGCGAAAUUUAUGUCACUCCU